GUCAUAACCAGCAAAGGGGAGGGUGGAGCCCUUUUUCCUGACAAUGAAAACUCUUCACAGAGUUUGGUGAGAACAACAUGACCUUACUCCCUAAAAGAUCUCAAAAUUCAACAGAAUUUCCACAACAAACAAGAAUUACUGGUGCAAAGAAUAAAAAGAAAAAGAAAUAUACCACCAAACAAUUUCCAUGGAUUGAAUCCAGGCUACCAAACUGUAGCUAAAAUUCUAGCUUUUGAGAAAAAUUAGGACCAGCGUUUGAGCUACAAAGACCUCAGACCUAAUGGAUCAGGGACUUAGCUCUGGAAUCAGGAACAGUAAAUACAAAUAACACAGAAAUAACUUAAAAGAUGUAGCCAUGAUUAUGUUUUACUUCAAGCAGUCUGUAUAUCUGAUGCUACCUUCAGGUUGUCUGGUGAACCCUCUUCCAGCAACAACAGCACAGGUUGCUUUGGACUAACCCUUCUGCUGAGAGCAGCUGGAGGAGCUGGACUAAAUA